UACGUAGGGUCCGAGCGUUGUCCGGAGUUACUGGGCGUAAAGCGCGCGCAGGCGGUCCGCGAGGUGUCACGUGAAAGCCCCGGGCUCAACUCGGGAGGGUCGUGGCAAACCGGCGGACUUGAGGCCGGUAGAGGUGGGUGGAACUCCUGGUGGAGUGGUGAAAUGCGCAGAUAUCAGGAGGAACACCGGUGGCGAAGGCGCCACUCUGGGCCGGUGCUGACGCUGAGGAGCGAAAGCGUGGGGAGCGAACAGG
rnacentral:rRNA from 1 species